rnacentral:rRNA from 1 species
GACGACGCUGGCGGCGUGCUUAACACAUGCAAGUCGAACGGGAGUAUUGAAGAAGCUUGCUUUAGAGAUACUUUAGUGGCGGACGGGUGAGUAACGCGUGAGGAGCUGUCCUAUGCAGGGGGACAACAGUUGGAAACGACUGCUAAUACCCCAUAAGCCGAGAGGUAAAAGGAGCGAUCCGGCAGAGGAGGUACUCGCGUCCUAUCAGCUAGUAGGUGAGGUAACGGCUCACCUAGGCGAAGACGGGUAGCCGGCCUGAGAGGGCGAACGGCCACACUGGAACUGAGAUACGGUCCAGACUCCUACGGGAGGCAGCAGUGGGGAAUAUUGGGCAAUGGGGGCAACCCUGACCCAGCGACGCCGCGUGGGUGAAGAAAUCCCUCGGGAUGUAAAGCCCUGUUGUAUGGGAAGAGCAGAAGACGGUACCAUACGAGGAAGCCCCGGCAAACUACGUG